rnacentral:rRNA from 1 species
UACGGAGGGGGCUAGCGUUGUUCGGAAUUACUGGGCGUAAAGCGCACGUAGGCGGCUUUGUAAGUUUAGAGGUGAAAGCCCAGGGCUUAACCCUGGAAUUGCCUUUAAGACUGCAUCGCUAGAAUCGUGGAGAGGUGAGUGGAAUUACGAGUGUAGCAGUGAAAUGCGUAGAUAUUCGUAGGAACACCAAUGGCGAAGGCAGCUUGCUGGGCCACACCCUGACACUGAGGUACGAAAGCGUGGGGAGCGAACAGA